rnacentral:rRNA from 1 species
AGAGACAGCAGCAGCCGCGGUAAUACGUAGGUCCCGAGCGUUGUCCGGAUUUAUUGGGCGUAAAGCGAGCGCAGGCGGUUAGAUAAGUCUGAAGUUAAAGGCUGUGGCUUAACCAUAGUACGCUUUGGAAACUGUUUAACUUGAGUGCAAGAGGGGAGAGUGGAAUUCCAUGUGUAGCGGUGAAAUGCGUAGAUAUAUGGAGGAACACCGGUGGCGAAAGCGGCUCUCUGGCUUGUAACUGACGCUGAGGCUCGAAAGCGUGGGGAGCAAACAGGAUUAGAUACCCGUGUAGUCCCUGUCUCUUAUACA